UGGGUCGAGGCGGGUGUCCGAGGAGGGCUCACCCUCCCGCUGCCGCCGCCAACUCAGGGACGGUGGGCCGUCGGCCUGGGUCCCCGCGUGGUGGAGGGGAGCCAGAGGCCUUCCCAGUCUGGGGAGGGGAGCUGAGGCAUUAGCUAAAGAAGAUAUUGAUGCUGCUAUUCAAUCAAUAUUAUAUAGAGAAAAUUAUGUAAUUAAGGUUUUAGCAACCAAGGAGCUCAUACCCUGAUCGUUUACUGGUAAAAGAGGGCACAAAAGAAGGCUGCUUCAAGGAAGCCAUCUGCCAGCAGGAGUCAUUCAGGAUGAGGACCAAGGAAGGCCAUGGAGAAAUGUCCUGUGUCUAAGAAAAGCGUCUGCAAUAAACUUCACUUAAUGUUUGAGGAUUCUGUUACUUACGGCUGCCACGAAGACGUCCAACUAUAAUGAACAUUUUGGGCCAGAACAAUUAAAGAAGUGGCCAGAGCCCGAGUCAGUGGCUUUGAUGGAGAUUACCGUGCCUCUGUUCUAUGAUCCUCUGCUUAGAAGACAGGGAGGCACUGCUGAAGAGCAGAGAGCUGUUCUUCCGUACAAGACAGGAAAAUGAUGUACCUUAAGAGAAUUUAAAGAACUAGAGAAGGCCAGGCAGUGUGCCAGACUGCCCCAGUUCAUUUCCACUCUCCGCAGCGUGGUUCCAAAAGAGAAGCCCAAAGCCUCUGUGAGACCCGUGGGGAGCAAAACCCAAGUCACAUGCAGUUCCCAAAAGCUUAUCUGUGCAGAAGAGAAAUAUCCGCCUGGUAAAGAGAAAAACACUAUCAACCCAAGUCAGACUGUUUUUGAAAGGCAGUUCACUCCUUGAAGGUCAGCCCGGAGAGUAAAAGGCAUGAGAAGAAGGGUCUGGUGAGCAGGGAUCUGGGGGGAGCAGGGCUGGGAUGGAACAGCUGUACAACUCCCACCCUGACAGUGAGCACUGAGUCCAGAAUCUACUGACAAAUCCCUCCCUCUCACGUGGGCUCCCAGGGCAGAGCAGGUAGUAACUGCAGGAGGGAGUGAAAAAGAGGGGGCAAAGGAAGAUUAAUUUUAAGCAGAAGCAGCAGUGAGGUUGCUGCUGGGCUCAGUGCUGCUGCCCAGCCGGGCACCCUUCAGCAGGGGAGCCAUGCGUGAAGACCUUCAGAAAAGAAACAGAUUGUGGGACCCUGGACUCCACUUUCGUGGGACAGAUUGUGCCUUACAAGGUGAGGGAUCUGCCUUCUAAGAUUUCCUUGGCUCUUUUUCCUGAGUUUUUUCUCUUCUGACAUUUUCCUACCAUUUACUACAUAUUACAUCCAAAUCAGAACGAAAAUUUAUUCUCCUUAGUUCAGGUACAGUAGGUAGGAACCUUUUGAAAUGAAAUUUAUACUAAAAAAAUCUAGGGCAAAAUGUAGUCUAGCUAUAUAAAAGGUACUUAUAUGCAGGAAAUUUCCAUGCACACAUUUCCUGUCCAGAGCUCACACCCCAGUUGGCACAGCUGACAGCUCACGGCCUAUUGCCCCCUCCACUCUCUCUCCCACACCCUGUCCCCUAAAGCCCAAGGGUCAGGAUGCUUCCAGAGGAGGCUCAGGGCACUUGGUAGGUAAUGGGUUCAAGCCCUCCCGAGUGAUCUGUAGAUCUUUGUGUCUCCUUCACCCACCAGCCUGGCCCCUUCCCUCCACCACACACAAAGCUGUCUUUCUAGCUUGAGAACCUUGUUAGUUAGGUAUUUUGUGAACCAGCUCCUCCCCAGUUCCACUGUUCUCCCCAGUCUCUCCAGAGAGAAGCAGGGGCUCCCUGUGUGUCAGUUCCCUCUGAGCACAAUGCUGUCUGAGAGCACAGGGAGCCCUCAGUCAGGUCUGAACAUGUCAGCUCGGCCCUGACAGCAGGGUAGCCGAACUGCUGUUCUCAAGAGACCAGAAAGUGGAGUAUGGUUUACGCACACUGGGAGUUUAUUUUUCACUCCUGUACCAGACAGAGCUGGGUGGGUCUGCAGGUCGGUAGGCCAUCCCUGUUUCUUGCGGUCUUUCAGGCCCCUGGCUGAAGGAACGUUUGUCAUCUCCGCACCUGGCUUCCAAGGUUGCCCCGGGAACUCAUUCCUGUCAGCCUGAGAAGGGAGAGGUCACGGAGGAAUUCUGCCCUGGGAGUGUAGGUGGAUGGGGACCCAGUCACCAGGUGGCCCCUAACUGCAGGGAGUAGGUGCUGGGAAGAGCAGUCCCCGGCCGCUCUGAGCAGUGGCAGGGAGAGCAGCAUCUCGUGGACAGCUGGUCAUCUCUGCUACACCGUAAAAAGGUAGUGCUGCGUGGAGUCCAGAGACACGGAAGCCCUGUCUGAGAGCUGCAGACACCAGACAGAGUGAGGGGGAGGUGAGGCGGGGCUAGGAAGCUGGCCUGGGAGAUGAGUGGCCAUGGGCAUUGGCCCGGAAGUUCCUCUCUGCCCCGUAAGCCCCUCUUCCCCACCCUACGCUCAGCUCUCCUCUUCUGUCGUAAGCUUUAGGAGGCAGACAGCACAGGCCUGGAUCCUAGACGGCGGGGGAAGGCCAGCAGAGGUGGGGGUCCCAGCCUGCGCAGAGAAGAGUGAUGACAGCAGAGGUCCUGGCGCAGCACCUGGCCGCCCUGCAGCGGGGAGUCAGAAGUGGAAAAAUAUUGCAAGCAAUAUCCGAGUAAGAACAGCUGCUGUUUACUGCGCUCCUGUUGUGAAUCAGAAACUGCAUGAGGUGCAGUCUCCCUGGUGCCGAAGCACACGCUCCCUCACCAGGGCACACGCCCUCCUCACAGCCACUUGGACUUUUUGAGGUUAGUCAGACCGCUCAGAAUUUGAGUUCCCCCCGGAGGGUGGAGCUGCCCCACUGGCCCGCCAGGGCGCCCGAGAGGGGCUUGCUGGACACUCCUCAGGCCGCUCAGCCCCUCCCCAGGCGAUGUAGUCCCAGGGUGCCCCCUCCCUUUCCUUGCCUUUCAGAAAACCAGGCUCAUGUUUUAGUCAGGAGAGAAUGUGAUUUCUUAAGGAGCAAAGCUGUGUUCCUAAGUCCAAAGGGGUGACUGGAGUUGCUGGAAGUACUUACAUUAAAAAUCCUGUCGUUUCAUAGAAGCCAUCUGACUCACAUCCUGUGAGCUCCUCUGUCCAAAUCGGACAACCCUGACACAUCUAAUAAAGGAGAAAUGGCACUGGCCACAGUUCAUCCCACGAGGAAGUCCCACAGACCCAGGAAAGGGCUAUCCUGUAGCUUUGUCAUAGGUAACCCUAGAACUGGUUUUAAGCCUGCCUGACCCAUCAGUGAUAACCUGACGCUCUGAAAGUCAGCCGAUCAGAGGCCGACUUCCUGACAUCAGCCCACACCCACCUCCAUAACCAGCACAGCCCGCUUCCCCAGGCCCUGUAGAAGAGCAGCACUUUGCUUUGCUCAGUGCAGCUGAGCCUGACCAGCCAGACUUCCCUGAAUUAAGCAACACACUCAGUUGCCUGUGUUCAGAUAUUGUGUGUCUCUUCCUUUGACACUGUGCCGUAUUUCCUUUAUGUCUAUGUUUUAGCCAACUCAGUGUCCAGAAUCAAUACCUGGAAUGAUGGCCUUUUUUUCACUUGAAUAUUCUGAAUUACGUUUUCUAGUUUUUAUUUGCUCGGUGAUUACAUUAUGACAGAAACCUGUCUAUGGUGGAGGGACACUUGACUCCUUCAUUCCUUCCUUCCAGCUCCUAGAGAAGACCUGCUCCCUGAGAAAUCAGGGCUAAAAGACAGAUCUUUUCCCAGUUGUAUUCAUUAACCCAGGGAUCUAGUGUCUUUAAGACCUUAUUUUUAUCAAUGUUCAAGGCAGAUUUCACACUUCAAAAUCUAGAGGCCGAGGAAGCAGGUCUGACAGGUGUGGAUGUGGCUCUGGCAGGAUUGGGGCAGGGGGAGAGGCAGGUGCUUCUGGAGCUGGAGGGGCCGAGGGGCCCGCUGCCAUUUAACUCUGGUGCAUUUUCUUCAUGGCUAAGUCACCCCGAAGUUUCUACUCAACUAGGCAAGCAGAGGGGCUCACAAGGGGACAGUCUAGCUCCCACAGAGAUCAGCCAUUCUAGCCAUCAAAGAAACUGAGCCCCAGAAACAGUAGGUCAAGUGACCGGAGUCACAGGGCAAGCCAAUGGCAGUCAAGUGAGUGCUUCCCCUCCAUAUUCUGUCCUUGGUUUUUCUCCCUGUUGCAGAAAAGAAAUUUGGUUUUGUCAUAAGCAACCCCUGAAGUCACCUUUUAAAAGCCUUUCACAUAGAAAAUAAGUCAGGCUUUGAAGAAGUUACAUUCAUAACUUAUAUUUUUAUUCUCUUUCUGUACAUAUUGGCAAUGAUAAAGCUUAAAGAUGCAUGUCCUGUGACAUACACAAAAACAAGGACUUUACAUAAAUAAUUUAUACUUCAGAAAAUUAAAGUUGAAAAAUAUUUUCCGUGUCAUUAGAGUUCACAGUAUUUAAAGGAAAUCAAGCUUUCCCCCUUAGAUUUCAGACUACAUAGCCUCAGCAGAGGAUGGUAAAAUCUAACCAGGAAUAAAAUGAUUGAGUUUGUUUUUAUUCAGUGCACGAGCAGACACUAUGUCGGUAUCAGGCUGUUCCCAGGCGGAGGCUGCAGCAUUUCUUCCAGUCCUUCACCUCCUGAGUGGCCGUGACCCAGCAGAGGUCACAUGGCAUGGAAUGGUUAGAGCAUCACCCAAACCACCCACAGUGGACACAUUCAACCAAGUGGUAACGUCUGGUGGUCUGAUGCCUCAUUUCCACGUAAUACUUUUUAUAGCCCUGAAAAUGGAAACCUUGGCAUCUAAACACAGCCGAACAUGUUAACACUAAUACAAGGCACUGUACUAUGGGGUUUGGUUUAUUUAUAGGAAGGAUCAUGUUUGCAUAGAUUGCUAGCGAUUUAGUGUGCAAUAAAAUAGAGGCCUGGCACGCGCGGCCUUGCGAUGGGUGAAGCCGCCUGACGCUCCUCCAGCUGAGGGGCUGCGCCGGCGGUCUUCUCCAGCCCAGGCCCAGAGGGCAGAACCCCGAGGCCCCUACAGGAGGGUUUUUUGCUCAAAAAGCUGCAGGUCAAAGCGGACCCAGACCUCCCCGGUGGGGACCUCGUGCAGCAGGAGUCGGCGGGUUGUAGGGCCUUUGCUUUCCUGUUCUGUUCGAAUUUUUGCCACUGCAACUUCGGUGCGACCCAGGAAAUCUGGUGAAUAGACACGUGAGAGUCAGAAGUCUGUCUUCUUUAAAAAAAAUUGUUAAAAACUACCACAGGAGGAGUGUCUGAAGGAGGAUUCAUAAAACCUUCAAAUCUAAGACAAGUAGGUUCUGGUCAAGGGCUGUUGGACACUGAAUGGAUGUGUGCAGAAUGAGGGGUUUGUGUGAGGGAAACUGCCUCUUGGGAAUCCAAGUCUCUUUGGUUGGGGAAUGUCUCACCCCCUCAGGCGGUGCCAGGAGCACAGCGUUUCCAUUAGGGAAGCACAGGUAACUGGGGUCAGAGACCUGAAACAAAACUGAGGCCACCCAGCCACCCCUUCCCCCUGAGAAGGUGCCCCACCUGCUGCCACUGUGAACUGCUGAGGACCAUGGCCUGUGUCACUGCCCUUCAGUAUCAAGGGGCGACAACAAGUCAGAGCACCCUGGCUCCGGACCCUGGAUCCUAGAGUACAGGGGGACCUCCAGACCCCCUCCCCGAGUUAUACUUUACCAUCUGGUGAGAACUGGUCUCUGUCGAACAUGGUGAGACACAGCACAUCCUGAUAAAGAUCCUUAAUGAAGAACUGGCAGUUAAAAUUCCA